rnacentral:rRNA from 1 species
CCUACGGGGUGCAGCAGUGAGGAAUAUUGGUCAAUGGACGAGAGUCUGAACCAGCCAAGUAGCGUGAAGGAUGACUGCCCUAUGGGUUGUAAACUUCUUUUAUAAAGGAAUAAAACGAGGCACGUGUGCCUUUUUGCAUGUACUUUAUGAAUAGGGAUCGGCUAACUCCGUGCCAGCAGCCGCGGUAAUACGUAUGGUGCAAGCGUUAUCCGGAUUUACUGGGUGUAAAGGGAGCGCAGGCGGCACGCUAAGCCUGAUGUGAAAACCCGCGGCCCAACCGCGGGAGUGCAUUGGGAACUGGCGAGCUGGAGUACCGGAGGGGCAGGCGGAAUUCCUAGUGUAGCGGUGAAAUGCGUAGAUAUUAGGAGGAACACCAGUGGCGAAGGCGGCCUGCUGGACGGAGACUGACGCUGAGGCUCGAAAGCGUGGGGAGCAAACAGGAUUAGAUACCCUUGUAGUC